rnacentral:rRNA from 1 species
AAGAGUUUGAUCCUGGCUCAGGAUUAACGCUGGCGGCGUGCCUAAUACAUGCAAGUCGAACGGAAACCUUCGGGUUUUAGUGGCGAACGGGUGAGUAACACGUAAGCAACCUACCCUAAAGACGAGGAUAACCAUUGGAAACAGUGGCUAAGACUGGAUAGGAAGAAAUAAGGCAUCUUUUUUCUUUUAAAAGACCUAGUGAUAGGUAUACUUUAGGAGGGGCUUGCGCCAUAUUAGUUAGUUGGUAGGGUAAUGGCCUACCAAGACGAUGAUGUGUAGCUGGACUGAGAGGUUGAACAGCCACAUUGGGACUGAGACACGGCCCAAACUCCUACGGGAGGCAGCAGUAGGGAAUUUUCGGCAAUGGAGGAAACUCUGACCGAGCAACGCCGCGUGAACGACGAAGUACUUUGGUAUGUAAAGUUCUUUUAUCAAGGAAGAAAAGCAAGUGGUGAACCAUUUGUUUGCCGGUACUUGAUGAAUAAGCCCCGGCUAAUUAUGUGCCAGCAGCCGCGGUAAGACAUAAGGGGCAAGUGUUAUCCGGAAUUAUUGGGCGUAAAGGGUGCGUAGGCGGUCUAGUAAGUCAGUGGUGUAAUGGCAACGCUCAACGUUGUCCGGCUAUUGAAACUGCUAAACUUGAGUUAGAUAGAGGCGAGUGGAAUUCCAUGUGUAGCGGUAAAAUGCGUAAAUAUAUGGAGGAACACCAGAGGCGUAGGCGGCUCGCUGGGUCUUAACUGACGCUGAGGCACGAAAGCGUGGGGAGCAAACAGGAUUAGAUACCCUGGUAGUCCACGCCGUAAACGAUGAGUACUAAGUGUCGGGUUAAACCGGUACUGAAGUUAACACAUUAAGUACUCCGCCUGAGUAGUACGUACGCAAGUAUGAAACUUAAAGGAAUUGACGGGACUCCGCACAAGCGGUGGAUCAUGUUGUUUAAUUCGAAGAUACCCGAAAAACCUUACCAGGUCUUGACAUGUUUUUGCGAAACGGUAGUAAUAUCGUGGAGGUUAUCAGAAACACAGGUGGUGCAUGGUUGUCGUCAGCUCGUGUCGUGAGAUGUUAGGUUAAGUCCUAAAACGAGCGAAACCCUUAUCGUUAGUUGCCAGCACGUUAUGGUGGGGACUUUAACGAGACUGCCAGUGAUAAAUUGGAGGAAGGUGAGGAUCACGUCAAAUCAGCAUGCCCCUUAUGACCUGGGCUACAAACGUGAUACAAUGGCUGUUACAAAGGGUAGCUGAAACGCAAGUUCUUGGCCAAUCCCCAAAAACAGUCUCAGUCCGGAUUGAAGUCUGCAACUCGACUUCAUGAAAUUGGAAUCGCUAGUAAUCGCGAAUCAGCAUGUCGCGGUGAAUACGUUCUCGGGGUUUGUACACACCGCCCGUCAAACCACGAAAGUUGGCAAUACCCCAAAACGGUAGCCUAACUCGUUUAUCGAGAGGGCGCUGUCUAAGGUAGGGUCGAUGAUUGGGGUUAAGUCGUAACAAGGUAUCCCUACCGGAAGGUGGGGAUGGAUCACCUCCUUUCU